CCAUGCGGAAACGAGCCACGUGCCGUUAAACAGCGCGCGCUCAUGAUACACAGUUCCGCGAAACUCGGUCGGCCGGAUGCUGAGCGACGUAGGGCGUAGGCCGGAUUUCGCUUCGAGAAUCCGAUUGCACUCCGGUGCUUGUAAUUAGUGGAGUGCGUACCAACGCAUGCUUUAUCGUCAUUACGUUACGAAUAUAGAGGUGGUCUGCACCCUUUGCUCAUUUUUUUCGGAUCUUCUCCUUACUCAAUUCUCGCCGAUUCGGUUCGUCUCUCUUCAUCUAUAGAUUUGUUAUUUAUUAUGCGAUGAGUCCUCGCCAACUUUAUCUCGAACAUCCGGAUGCGCAUGUUAUCUUGAGAUUGAAGCCGGAAAUGAAUUGAAGCUCGUUUUUUGCCUCGGAAUUUCUCAUGUUUCUACUAUUCGUUUCUCUUGGAUUGCAUUCUCUUUCGAAGUGGAGUUCAUUUGAAUGAAAUGAAUCGAGGAAAGAAUAGUCGACGAUGCCCGUAAUUUUUGCCCACAAGUAAGAAAUCAAUACUCUGAUACGGUUAUAAAUCCACAAGAUGGCGACAGAACGCGCGUAUCGUGUUUGAUCUUUCGCGCAUGGAAGUGGUGGAAUGAAGGCAGCGGAGGGGCGAUUCGUUCGAGGAACAAAUAAAAAACGCGAGAUCGACCUCGUGCCGAUAGAUAAGUUAUCUUCGUGUAAAAGUAUCCAGAAAAGUAAUGCGAUGUGAAUUCAAUUUUUGCUACGAACGGUUUCAAUUUCAUAGAAUUGCCAUCUUGAAUUCGAAAGAGAUAAACUCGAUGUUAUA